rnacentral:rRNA from 1 species
UACGAAGGGGGCUAGCGUUGCUCGGAAUCACUGGGCGUAAAGCGCACGUAGGCGGCUUUUUAAGUCAGGGGUGAAAUCCUGGAGCUCAACUCCAGAACUGCCUUUGAUACUGAGAAGCUUGAGUUCGGGAGAGGUGAGUGGAACUGCGAGUGUAGAGGUGAAAUUCGUAGAUAUUCGCAAGAACACCAGUGGCGAAGGCGGCUCACUGGCCCGAUACUGACGCUGAGGUGC